UGGUCAUUUAGAGGAAGUAAAAGUCGUAACAAGGUUUCCGUAGGUGAACCUGCGGAAGGAUCAUUAAAGAGAACAUGCCCUUCGGGGUAGAUCUCCCACCCUUUGUUUACAUUACCUUUGUUGCUUUGGCAGGCCCGUCUCCGGACCACCGGCUCCGGCUGGUCAGCGCCUGCCAGAGGACCCGAAACUCUUAUUAUUCAUGUCGUCUGAGUACUAUAUAAUAGUUAAAACUUUCAACAACGGAUCUCUUGGUUCUGGCAUCGAUGAAGAACGCAGCGAAAUGCGAUAAGUAAUGUGAAUUGCAGAAUUCAGUGAAUCAUCGAAUCUUUGAACGCACAUUGCGCCCCCUGGUAUUCCGGGGGGCAUGCCUGUUCGAGCGUCAUUACAACCCUCAAGCUCUGCUUGGUAUUGGGCCUCACCAGUUCUGGUGUGCCUUAAAAUCAGUGGCGGCGCCAUUCGGCUUCAAGCGUAGUAAUUCUUCUCGCUUUGGAGACCCGGGUGCGUGCUUGCCAGCAACCCCCAAUUUA
rnacentral:rRNA from 1 species